rnacentral:lncRNA from 1 species
GCACUCAAAAAGGGCUGCUAAGCGGCAGCCGCAUGGCGAUGAUAAGGACGGGGAUGGAGAGGAUGACGAUGUGAGUGGAGAACAGCAGUCCUUUGGAAUUUAUUUUCCUUCAUUUUUAUUUUGUUCUUUAGGUUUUUUAUAUGGCACACAUACAUGUUUAAUUUUUUCUCAACCCCUUAUGCUUGUUAAUUUUUUCCUUACACAACUUUAGGGUGGCGAAAGAUUCCUCUUAGUAAAACUGCAGAGAAGAAAGGUGCGCAUGAAGGCAGUAUCCAAAGGGGUAGAUGCCACAUCUUCUGCAGCAGCCGCUGAGGUAACAUAAAAUUCCAUCAGGAAUAUUUUUUACUCCACAUACAGGCAGCCAAGUGUAUUAUUUUUCAUACAUAGUUGCAGAAGGACUAAUUAAGCAUUGACAUGCUCAACUUUCUUAGUUGCUCAACGUUGUCAUCUUCAAGUUUUUUAGAAUUGUCCCAAGAGUAUGUAACGACUUGGCAUCCUCAGGCUUUCUAGUUGCACAAUAGUAUCUAAUUAGUUGGCAACCUCUGUAAUUCUAGUUGGACAACAUUAUACAACUAGUUGACAUCCUUGGCUUCUCUAGUUGCACAAGACUCGGAUUAGUCUCAUCUUAAAAAAAUUGAGGAUUGCCCAACAGUAUCUAAUGACUUGGCACCCUCAGGCUUUCUAGUUGCAUAAGAGUAUCUAUUUAGUUGGCACCCUCUGCAAUUCUAGUUGGACAACAUUAUCCAAGUAGUUGACAUCCUCAGCCUCUCUAGUUGCACAAGAAUAUCUCAUUAGUUGGCAUCAUCAGCAUAUCUAGUCGCACAAGAAUAUCUCAUUAGUUGUCAUCACCAGCAUUUCUAGUUGCAGAACAAACAGGAUAUCAAGUUGCCAUCCUCAACUUUUUAAUCUAGUUUUCCAGAGAACAAAUAUUUGUAUGUAAUGAUAACUAAUCACCUCUGCCUUUUUUGCGAACCCCAAGAUAUUUUCAACGGAAUGAGAGAAAUGAAGCAGAUAAUGUUGACAUCCUCAGCCAUUCUAGUUGCACAACAGUAUAUAAUUUAGUCUCAUCUCCAAAAAAUUUGAGGGUUGCCCAAGAGUAUCUUUGGCACCCUCAGACUUUAUACUUGCACAGUAGUAUCCAAUUAAUUGGCAUCCUCGACAAUUCUAGUUGCACAAUACUUUUCUAACUAGUUGACAUACUCAAGACUUUUUCUAGUUGCACAAGAGUAUGUAUUUAGUUGGCAUCCUUAGCAUUUCUAGUUGCACAGUAAACAAAAUACUGUGUUGGCAUCCUCAACUUUUUUAAUCCAGAUUUCUAAAGAACAACAAAAAAAUUAUGCAGUGUUAACUAAUCACCUUUUUUCACCUUCAUGAUAUUGUGCAGGGGGGUGAGGGUAAUGAAGAAGAUAAUGCAGAACGACAGUCACAAGCUGGUAGAAUAAGGGCAUCUCCUGGGAGGUUGGUGAAGUUGAACAAUAAGUUGAGCCCAUUACAAAAGUCCCCCCCUCUGCCACAAGCUGUUUGGAGGCCUGGAUUCAUGUUUUAGUAGCACACAUUUACAACAAAAGUUGGCUUUAGAUUCAUGUUUAGUUGCACAAAUAUGUGUUUUUUUUUGCACAGACUGCAGACAUCCAUGUCUGUGUGUGUUGAUUGCACACAUUUACAGCAAAAGCUGGCUUUUGGAUCCAUGGUUAGUUUGCACAUCUCUUUUCUAGUCUUGGCUGUUUGGUUGCACACAUAGAAGGAAAAUUUGGUUUUGGAUCCAUGUUUUAGUUGGCACAAAUAUAGCCUUCUAUUUGCACACAUGGCAUAAAAAGGUUUCUUUUGGAACCCAUGUUUUUUUAGUUGCGCAAAUAUGUGCUUCUUUCUGCACAAACAGUACAUCCAGUCCAUAUUUUUUAGUGUUUGGUUGUUUGGUUGCACACAUUGCAUAAAAAGUUGGCAUUGUUGGAACUGUGAUUAGUUGCACAAACAGGAACAUCCAGUCCAUGUUUCUAGUUUGGGCUAUCUGCAAAACUAUUCCCUUGUGUCUAUU